rnacentral:rRNA from 1 species
GACGAACGCUGGCGGCGUGCUUAACACAUGCAAGUCGACAUGAGUGGCGAACGGGUGAGUAGUACGUGGGUACCCUGCCCUACUUUUUGGGAUAAGCCUUGGAAACGGUGUCUAAUACCGUACCAAGGGGGUUGGGCUCGCGGCCUGUCCGCGUGUUGGUGGGGUGGUUGUCUACCAAGGCGGUGACGGGUAGCCGGCCUGAGAGGGGGAACGGCGACAUGGGGACUGAGAUAAGGCCCAGAGUCCGACGGGGGGGAGAAGUGGGGGAUAUUGCACAAAGGGCGAAAGCGCGAUGCAGCGUCGCCGCGGGGGGGAUGAAGGCUGUAGGGUUGUAAAGCUCGUUCGCUACCGAACGGGUAGGUGGAGAAGAAGCGCCGGCUAACUACGUGCCAGCAGCCGCGGUAAUUC